AGCCUCUUAAUGCUUAUCACAGGCAGUGUUCUUACACUGACUGUACAGAAAAAGGAGACAAAGUAAAUCUUCCCCACAUACACCUCAGCCCAGGCCUUGUGCCCUGCGUGUAUUGUGAAUGAGGAAGCAGAG
ensembl:snoRNA